rnacentral:rRNA from 1 species
GGCUUAUCAAGUCACAUGUGAAAUUCCAGGGCUUAACCCUGGAGCUGCAUGUGAAACUGAUAGACUAGAGGUAAAGCGGAGAAAACGGAAUUUCCCAUGUAGCGGUGAAAUGCGUGGAUAUGGGAAGGAACACCGGUGGCGAAAGCGGUUUUCUAGCUUUAAACUGACGCUGAAGCGCGAAAGCAAGGGGAGCAAACAGGAUUAGAUACCCUGGUAGUCCUUGCCGUAAACGAUGUAUACUUGAUGUGAUUAGGGCUCAACCCCGAUCGUGUCGAAGCUAACGCGAUAAGUAUACCGCCUGAGGAGUACGCUCGCAAGGGUGAAACUCAGAAGAAUUGACGGGGGCCCGCACAAGCAGUGGAGCAUGUGGUUUAAUUCGAUGCAACGCGAAGAACCUUACCCGGUUUUGACAUGCAGAUGACGUUAACAGCGAUGUUAAUUUCCGAAAGGACAUCUGCACAGGUGCUGCAUGGCUGUCGUCAGCUCGUGCCGUGAGGUGUUGGGUUAAGUCCCGCAACGAGCGCAACCCUUAUUGUUAGUUGCCAACAGGUAAUGCUGGG